ensembl:snRNA U6 U6 spliceosomal RNA
AUGCUCACUUCAGCAGCACAUAUUACUAAAAUUGGAAUAAUACAGAGAAGAUUAGCAUGGCCCCUGCACAAGGAUGACAUGCAAAUUCAUGAAGCAUUCCAUGUUUAA